UACGAAGGGGGCUAGCGUUGCUCGGAAUCACUGGGCGUAAAGCGCACGUAGGCGGCUUGUUAAGUCAGGGGUGAAAUCCUGGAGCUCAACUCCAGAACUGCCUUUGAUACUGGCGAGCUUGAGUCCGGGAGAGGUGAGUGGAAUUCCCAGUGUAGAGGUGAAAUUCGUAGAUAUUGGGAAGAACACCGGUGGCGAAGGCGGCUCACUGGCUCGUAACUGACGCUCAUGCACGACAGCGUGGGGAUCAAACAGG
rnacentral:rRNA from 1 species